rnacentral:rRNA from 1 species
GCAUAACGCGAAGAACCUUACCAAGGCUUGACAUCCCCUUGACCGGCACAGAGAUGUGCCCUCUCCUUCGGGAGCAAGGGUGACAGGUGGUGCAUGGUUGUCGUCAGCUCGUGUCGUGAGAUGUUGGGUUAAGUCCCGCAACGAGCGCAACCCUUAUCCUUAGUUGCCAGCAGGUGAAGCUGGGCACUCUAAGGAGACUGCCGAUGAUAAAUCGGAGGAAGGUGGGGAUGACGUCAAAUCAUCAUGCCCCUUAUGUCUUGGGCUACACACGUGCUACAAUGGUCGGUACAAAGGGGAGCGAAGGAGUGAUCUGGAGCAAAUCCCAAUAAACCGAUCUCAGUUCGGAUUGUAGGCUGCAACUCGCCUACAUGAAGUCGGAGUUGCUAGUAAUCGCGAAUCAGAACGUCGCGGUGGAUGCGUUCCCGGGUCUUGUACACACCG